GACGAACGCUGGCGGCGUGCCUAACACAUGCAAGUCGAACGGAAAGGCCCUGCUUGCAGGGUACUCGAGUGGCGAACGGGUGAGUAACACGCGGGUGAUCUGCCCUGCACUUCGGGAUAAGCCUGGGAAACAGGGUCUAAUACCGGACAGGAGCCAUUUUGAGUGUGAUGGUUGGAAAGUUUUUUCGGUGUAGGAUGAGAUGGCGGCCUAUCAGCUUGUUGGUGGGGUAAUGGCCUACCAAGGCGGCGACGGGUAGCCGGCCAGGGAGGGUGGACGGCGACAUUGGGACUGAGGGACGGCCCAGACUCGUACGGGAGGCAACAGUGGGGAAUAUUGCACAAUGAGCGCAAGCCUGAUGCAGCGGCGCCGCGGGGGGGAUGACGGCCUUCGGGUUGUAAACUCCUUUCGCUAGGGACGAAGCUUUUUGUGACGGUACCUAAAUAGAAAGCACCGGCUAACUACGUG
rnacentral:rRNA from 1 species